AAGAAACUACCAAAGCAGGUGCCCUCCGUUUCUCAUCUGCAGGGAAACAGAAGAAUGCUCGGUUCAUUUUCCAAUUCCUCUAACCAGUGACUGUUGUUCUGGACCUCAGCUCCAACUCCAAACACACAGGAAACAGAUUCUGAACAGCCCUCCCCUGCCCUCUGUCAAUCCCGAAGUUCAGGUCCUGUGGCCAAGGAGUGGGCAUUAGUUAAUGAGGAAAAUCAUAACCAGUCAGAGUGCUGAGAAUGAGUUACGGUGGAGCACUCCGCCCUCACCGGGACAGCCAGAGCAUCCCCUGUUUUCAAGGCUCAGAGAACACCAAGGAAGAGGGAGGAGAAGAACAGAAAGGCAGGGGAAUGUGGAGCAGGUGACGUUGAAGACUCUAAUAUUUAUGAAGAAAGGCCCAGGUCUGCAUUCACUCAGCUCACAGAUCAACUGCAAGUGUGUAGGACACAGUAUGAAUUUCAAAUUCCCUGUCCAGCUUACUUUGGAACGACGAGAAGAUAAAAGGCAGGCCCAGGAGUCCUCGCCAGAGACUACAAGCGAAUGCUUGGAAUGCAGGAGGAGAAUGCCUUGGCGCUGGGAAGAAAAUGCCUGGUGAAUAUUCAAGAGACUUCCAUCUUAAUUCCAGUUUCUUGGCUUGUAUGGCUUGUCCAGAAAAGGGCUAAGAAGAGCAGGCCUCCCGGGAGCAAGUGAUGCUAAGCAAAUGCAGUGUGAACACACUAUUCAAAGCUCUAUUCCAGAGGGGUGGCCUGGUUCGGGUGAUCUCAUUUAUUUUGAGUCAGCGUAUGAUUUUCUGGAAAAAGAACUGUGAAGCAUUCCCAGUGAAUGCCUUAGAUGGAAAUGGCUUUUUCUCCCCCUGGAACCUUUACGUUGUCUUCAGAGUUGGCCUCAGGCUGGCCAGCUAUGUAAGUCAAGGUAAAGUAGCACAGACAAAAUUCUAUUUAGAAUUGAGUGGAUCUGGGGCAGAAAAUGUAUCUUAAGGUAAAGGUUUGUCUUAAGUUUUCUUGGUGGAAAUGUCUUAGUUUCAGGGACAGAGCAAGACGGUCCCCCAAGGGCAACAUCAGUGAUCAUCAAUGUUACCCUGUUCCUGUUGGUGUCUAGGACAAUACCUAAAGUAGAACACUGGCCAGCGAGAGUGUAGAUUAAAAUUCUCUUCUAUGUGC